rnacentral:rRNA from 1 species
UACGUAGGGUGCGAGCGUUAAUCGGAAUUACUGGGCGUAAAGCGUGCGCAGGCGGUUUGUAAGUCUGUCGUGAAAGCCCCGGGCUCAACCUGGGAAUUGCGAUGGAGACUGCAAGGCUUGAAUCUGGCAGAGGGGGGUAGAAUUCCACGUGUAGCAGUGAAAUGCGUAGAGAUGUGGAGGAACACCGAUGGCGAAGGCAGCCCCCUGGGUCAAGAUUGACGCUCAUGCACGAAAGCGUGGGGGAGCAAACAGG